UGUGCCAAGCCUAUUUGCCACCAUUAUUCAACACAAACCAAAUUAUAAUCCUAUCUUCAGAAAAUAAAAUAGAAUUUAUGGACAAAAAAAAAAAAAAUAAUUUACUCUGCAUCCCCUUAGACCAGCAAGAAAAUUACUGGUAUUAAAGAUAGCCGUUCAAUGAAUCCAUACUUGGAAGCCGCUCCCCAUGUGACGGACGCAGAGGUUGUGUUAUGAUGACCUCCGUUGCCUCUCGUACCACCACUUGUAGCCAAAGCACCGCCAGCAGUUCCUACGAUAACACCACCACCAACUACAACACCUCUACCUUGAGUGCCAGUACCUACACCUCCACUGCUACCACCACUACCACCACCUUUAGCACCCCGACCAACGCUACCUCCUCCACUGCCACGACUACUACCGCCACCGCCACCACCACCACCCCCCCUGCCACCUCCACCUCCUCCUCUGCCUCCGCCCCUUUGAGCAGCCCCUGAAUUUACCAUCAAAGCAAUGAGUGCGACCACAAGAACUAUCAUUGCUAUGUUUCUUCCUGAGAUCUUCUUCAUCUUCAUCUUCAUAUUUGGAGACCAAACGCAGAAAAAUCAAGAACUCAGAAACCAAGAAAGUUUAUGUAUAUACUUUUUGAUGAAGAACAUUUUUUUAUUUGGAAUAAUACAGGAACAAGAUAAUUAAAUCUCCGGGAGCUAAGAAAUUCUUACAUAGGAGAUGAAAGAAUUGAUAGAGAGAAAAUGUUACCAAGCGAGGCCGAAUCAAGGUCAAAAAAGACAAGUCACUCACAGAGAAUCUUCCAAGAAGCAAAGAAAAAUUUAAUUGAUCUCUAAAUGUGUUCAGAUAGAAUUGAAGAGAAUGAGGGCAUUUCUUUUUCUUUUUCUAUCAAGA
rnacentral:misc_RNA from 1 species